rnacentral:tRNA from 2 species
GCGGGAAUAGCUCAGCUGGUAGAGCUCCACGUUGCCAACGUGGUUGUCGCGGGUUCAAGUCCCGUUUCCCGCUCCA